GUUUGUUGGUGAGGUAAUGGCUCACCAAGACGACGACGGGUAGCCGGCCUGAGAGGGCGACCGGCCACACUGGGACUGAGACACGGCCCAGACUCCUACGGGAGGCAGCAGUGGGGAAUAUUGCACAAUGGGGGAAACCCUGAUGCAGCGACGCAGCGUGCGGGAUGACGGCCUUCGGGUUGUAAACCGCUUUCAGCAGGGAAGAAGCCCUUCGGGGUGACGGUACCUGCAGAAGAAGUACCGGCUAACUACGUGCCAGCAGCCGCGGUAAUACGUAGGGUACAAGCGUUGUCCGGAAUUAUUGGGCGUAAAGAGCUCGUAGGUGGUUGGUCACGUCUGCUGUGGAAACGCAACGCUUAACGUUGCGCGUGCAGUGGGUACGGGCUGACUAGAGUGCAGUAGGGGAGUCUGGAAUUCCUGGUGUAGCGGUGAAAUGCGCAGAUAUCAGGAGGAACACCGGUGGCGAAGGCGGGACUCUGGGCUGUAACUGACACUGAGGAGCGAAAGCAUGGGGAGCGAACAGGAUUAGAUACCCUGGUAGUCCAUGCCGUAAACGUUGGGCACUAGGUGUGGGGGACAUUCCACGUUCUCCGCGCCGUAGCUAACGCAUUAAGUGCCCCGCCUGGGGAGUACGGUCGCAAGGCUAAAACUCAAAGGAAUUGACGGGGGCCCGCACAAGCGGCGGAGCAUGCGGAUUAAUUCGAUGCAACGCGAAGAACCUUACCAAGGCUUGACAUACACCAGACCGUUCUGGAAACAGUUCCUCCCCUUUGGGGUUGGUGUACAGGUGGUGCAUGGUUGUCGUCAGCUCGUGUCGUGAGAUGUUGGGUUAAGUCCCGCAACGAGCGCAACCCUCGUUCUAUGUUGCCAGCACGUGAUGGUGGGAACUCAUAGGAGACUGCCGGGGUCAACUCGGAGGAAGGUGGGGAUGACGUCAAAUCAUCAUGCCCUUUAUGUCUUGGGCUUCACGCAUGCUACAAUGGCUGGUACAGAGAGAUGCGAGACCGCGAGGUUUUAGCGAAUCCCUUAAAGCCAGUCUCAGUUCGGAUCGUAGUCUGCAAUUCGACUACGUGAAGUCGGAGUCGCUAGUAAUCGCAGAUCAGCAA
rnacentral:rRNA from 1 species